rnacentral:rRNA from 1 species
AUUGAACGCUGGCGGCAUGCCUUACACAUGCAAGUCGAACGGUAACAGGUCUUCGGAUGCUGACGAGUGGCGAAAGGGUGAGUAAUACAUCGGAACGUGCCCAGUCGUGGGGGAUAACGAAGCGAAAGCUUUGCUAAUACCGCAUACGAUCUACGGAUGAAAGCGGGGGAUCGCAAGACCUCGCGCGGUUGGAGCGGCCGAUGGCAGAUUAGGUAGUUGUGGGGUAAAGGCUUACCAAGCCUACGAUCUGUAGCUGGUCUGAGAGGACGACCAGCCACACUGGGACUGAGACACGGCCCAGACUCCUACGGGAGGCAGCAGUGGGGAAUUUUGGACAAUGGGCGCAAGCCUGAUCCAGCAAUGCCGCGUGCAGGAUGAAGGCCUUCGGGUUGUAAACUGCUUUUGUACGGAACGAAAAGCUCUGGGUUAAUACCCUGGGGUCAUGACGGUACCGUAAGAAUAAGCACCGGCUAACUACGUGCCAGCAGCCGCAGUAA